UACGGGGGGGGUAAGCGUUGUUCGGAAUUACUGGGCGUAAAGGGCUCGUAGGCGGCCAACUAAGUCGGACGUGAAAUCCCUCAGCUUAACUGGGGAACUGCGUCCGAUACUGGAUGGCUUGGAUUUGGGAGAGGGAUGCGGAAUUCCAGGUGUAGCGGUGAAAUGCGUAGAUAUCUGGAGGAACACCGGUGGCGAAGGCGGCAUCCUGGACCAAUAUUGACGCUGAGGAGCGAAAGCGAGGGGAGCAAACGGG
rnacentral:rRNA from 1 species